UUGGAGGGCAAGUCUGGUGCCAGCAGCCGCGGUAAUUCCAGCUCCAAUAGCGUAUAUUAAAGUUGUUGCAGUUAAAAAGCUCGUAGUUGAAUUUCGGGGUCAGUAGGUCGGUCGUGCCACUGGUAUGAACUGGUUUUACUGAUUCCUCCCUCUUGAAGAACUGUAAUGCCAUUAAUUUGGUGUUGCAGGGAAUCAGGACUGUUACUUUGAAAAAAUUAGAGUGUUUAAAGCAGGCAUUAGCUUGAAUACAUUAGCAUGGAAUAAUGAAAUAGGACGUUUGAUCCUAUUUUGUUGGUUUCUAGGAUUGACGUAAUGAUUAAUAGGGAUAGUUGGGGGCAUUAGUAUUCAAUUGUCAGAGGUGAAAUUCUUGGAUUUAUUGAAGACUAACUACUGCGAAAGCAUUUGCCAAGGAUGUUUUCAUUAAUCAAGAACGAAAGUUAGGGGAUCGAAGACGAUCAGAUACCGUCGUAGUCUUAACCAUAAACUAUGCCGACUAGGGAUCGGAUGAUGUUAAUUUUUUAAUGACUCAUUCGGCGCCUUACGGGAAAC
rnacentral:rRNA from 1 species